rnacentral:rRNA from 1 species
GACGAACGCUGGCGGCGUGCUUAACACAUGCAAGUCGAACGGAGCUAUUUAUUUCGGUAGAUAGCUUAGUGGCAAACGGGUGAGUAACGCGUAGGCAACCUGCCCUCAGGAUGGGGACAACGGCUCGAAAGAGCCGCUAAUACCGAAUGACGUAACUCUUCCACAUGGAAGAGAUACUAAAGAUGGGUCAAACCAUCGCCUAAGGAUGGGCCUGCGUCUGAUUAGCCAGUUGGUGAGGUAACGGCUCACCAAAGCGACGAUCAGUAGCCGGUCUGAGAGGAUGAACGGCCACAAUGGGACUGAGACACGGCCCAUACUCCUACGGGAGGCAGCAGUGGGGAAUCUUCCGCAAUGGGCGAAAGCCUGACGGAGCAACGCCGCGUGAGUGAAGAAGGUCUUCGGAUCGUAAAGCUCUGUUGUCGGGGACGAAAGGAAAGGGGAGGCAAUGCCCUUUUCAAGACGUACCUGAC